rnacentral:rRNA from 1 species
AUAAUUAAGCGGAGGAAAAGAAACUAACUAGGAUUCCCUCAGUAACGGCGAGUGAAGCGGGACUAGCUCAGGAUGUGAAUCUGCGCUUUUAUGGCGCCGAAUUGUGGUCUGUAGACCUUGACGUUAUUUGCCGGGCCAAGUUCCUUGGAAAAGGACAGCUGAGAGGGUGAGACUCCCGUCCGCCUGGUAGAGUGAGUCAUGUGUCAACGAGUCGAGUUGUUUGGGAUUGCAGCUCUAAUUUGGUGGUAAAUUCCAUCUAAAGCUAAAUAUUGGUGGGAGACCGAUAGCGUACAAGUACCGUGAGGGAAAGAUGCAAAGAACUUUGAAAAGAGAGUUAAAGAGUACCUGAAAUUGCUGAAACGGAAGCGAAGGAAACCAGUGUUUGUUGGUUCAUAUUUCCCUAGCCACUUGUGGUUUGGGCGCUGUGAACUUGCGUGAGUUUGGGUUGGUUGAAUCUUUUGGAAGAGCGCAGACAGAGUUGAUGUUUGUUGCUAGCACUGGAUUUGACUGAUGCAGACGAAAUGGUUUUCUUUACCCCGUCUUGAAACACGGACCAAGGAGUCUAACAUAUGUGCGAGUACAGGGGUGUCAAACCCCGGUGCGUAAUGAAAGUGACAGUGGUUGGAUAUUUUGCACAAUCCGCCGGCCUCAAUCCUUCGGGAGAACGGUCUGAGUGUGAGCAUACAUGUUGGGACCCGAAAGAUGGUGAACUAUGCCUGAAUAGGGUGAAGCCA